AUGCUUCAUGCUAGUAUGAUUUCCCCAUGCGAUGAUUUGCCCAUUUAUGAUGAUUUUCAUGUGGAGUCUAUUAGUUGUGAUGCCAUGUUACAUAGGAUUUCUUGUGACAAUUCCCUUGGUCACAUCAUGUUUGAUAAUCCGCUUGACUUGUCAUAUGCUAUGCAUGAGAUCAACCAUAUGACUUAUUUGCAAUCUCUUUGUAGUGACUAUGCAUAUGCCAUUAAAAUAAACCCAAUUUGCACAUAUAGCAUAGAUGACAAUCCCAUGGUUAUUGGCAUUUGUUUUUCUUGUGAUGAUAUUAAUAUGCUCUCUUGGCAUCAUUGA
rnacentral:rRNA from 1 species